rnacentral:rRNA from 1 species
UACGUAGGGGGCAAGCGUUGUCCGGAUUUAUUGGGCGUAAAGAGCGUGUAGGCGGCUUUACAGGUCCGUUGUGAAAACUCGAGGCUCAACCUCGAGACGUCGGUGGAAACCGCUUGGCUAGAGUCCGGAAGAGGAGAGUGGAAUUCCCGGUGUAGCGGUGAAAUGCGCAGAUAUCGGGAAGAACACCCGUGGCGAAGGCGGCUCUCUGGGACGGUACUGACGCUGAGACGCGAAAGCGUGGGGAGCGAACAGG